UUCAUCCUGGUGUGUGAUCUGGUGUGUGAUCAGAGGUCGUCCUGGUGUGUGAUCUGGUGUGUGAUCAGGGUUCGUCCUGGUGUGUGAUCUGGUUUCGUCCUCGUGUGUGAUCUGGUGUGUGUUCUGAGUUCGUCCUGGUGUGUGAUCUGAGUUCGUCCUGGUGUGUGAUCUGGUGUGUGUUCUGAGUUCGUCCUGGUGUUUGAUCAGGGUUCGUCCUGGUGUGUGUUCUGAAUUCAUCCUGGUGUGUGUUCUGAGUUCGUCCUGGUGUGUGUUCUGAGUUCGUCCUGGUGUGUGAUCUGGGUUCGUCCUGGUGUGUGUUCUGAAUUCAUCCUGGUGUGUGUUCUGAGUUCGUCCUGGUGUGUGUUCUGAGUUCGUCCUGGUGUGUGAUCUGAGUUCGUCCUGGUGUGUGAUCUGAGUUCGUCCUGGUGUGUGAUCUGGUGUGUGUUCUGAGUUCGUCCUGGUGUGUGAUCUGAGUUCAUCCUGGUGUGAGGUCAAGGGGUCAGGGGUCGUCCUGGUGUGAGGUCAGGGGUCGUCCUGGUGUGAGGUCAGGGGUCCUAGUGUGUGAUGCAUGUUGGGAUGCAGGGAGCACUGAUGGGCGUUAGGUCAAAGGUCAGACAUGAAUGUGACUUGAUGAGAGGUCCCAGUCUGCAGACAUUAAACUUGUUCAAGGUGAACAAGGUUAAAAGGUCAAAGGUGACUAGAAGGUUAAAAAGUUAAAGGUGACUAAAAUGUUAAAAGGUUCAAGGUGACUAGAAGGUUAAAAGGUUCAAGGUAACUAGAAGGUUUAAAGGUCAAAGGUGACUAGAAGGUUAUUGAAGAGGGACACUAACCCUACACCUCUGUUGUAAAGCUGGUCAGUGGAUUUAUGUAACAUAACAGAAGAGUUCAUCAGUAGUGUGUGUAUGUGUGAGUGAGUGUGUGUGUGUGUGGGGGGGUAAAGCUGAGAGAGUGUGUGUGUCAGGGAUUAAAGUAUUCCGGCACCGUGCCGGAUUUCCGGCGUCCGGCGUUUGGCUGCGAAAAAAAAUCUUAUAAAAAA
ensembl:lncRNA